rfam:Anaerostipes sp. 992a contig000003, whole genome shotgun sequence.
GUUAUUUAUCUGGGGAGCUGUCCAAGGACGGCUGAGAGGGAUUUGAUCCGACCCAUGACCUGAUACGGAUAAUGCCGGCGUAGGGAGAUAUAAUACCUUUUUA